AGCAGCCGCGGUAAUUCCAGCUCCAAUAGCGUAUAUUAAAGUUGUUGCAGUUAAAAAGCUCGUAGUUGAAUUUCGGGAUUGACGUGAUGGUCGUGCCUUACGGGGUAUGAACUGUUGCUGUUGAUUUCUCACCUUCUGGAGAAACUUGAUGUCCUUAAUUGGGUGUCUUGCGGAUCCAGGACCUUUACCUUGAAAAAAUUUAGAGUGUUUAAAGCAGGCAUUUUGCUCGAAUACAUUAGCAUGGAAUAAUAGAAUAGGACGGCAUGGUUCUAUUUUGUUGGUUUCUAGGAUCACCGUAAUGAUUAAUAGGGAUAGUUGGGGGGCAUUAGUAUUCAAUUGUCAGAGGUGAAAUUCUUGGAUUUAUUGAAGGCUAACUACUGCGAAAGCAUUUGCCAAGGAUGUUUUCAUUAAUCAAGAACGAAAGUUAGGGGGAUCGAAGACGAUCAGAUACCGUCGUAGUCUUAACCAUAAACUAUGCCGACUAGGAAUCAGACGAUGUUAAUUUUUUAAUGACUCGUUU
rnacentral:misc_RNA from 1 species